ensembl:snRNA U4 U4 spliceosomal RNA
AGCUUUGCGCAGUGGCAGUAUCGUAGCCAAUGAGGUUUAUCCGAGGCGCGAUUAUUGCUAAAUGAAGAAGAAACUGCUCAUGUUCACUUGAAACAGUGAAGUGAUUUGACCUAAAUAUUAAAGGUUUAAAUUAAAA